rnacentral:rRNA from 1 species
UACGGGGGGGGCAAGCGUUGUUCGGAAUUACUGGGCGUAAAGGGUCUGUAGGUGGCUCGCUAAGUCAGACGUGAAAUCCCUCGGCCCAACCGAGGAACUGCGCCCGAGACUGCUUCUCUUGAGUCCCGGAGAGGAAGGUGGAAUUCCCGGUGUAGCGGUGAAAUGUGUAGAGAUCGGGAGGAACACCGGUGGCGAAGGCGGCCUUCUGGACGGUGACUGACGCUGAGGCGCGAAAGCGUGGGGAGCAAACGGG